AUGGAAGUUUGCCAUGUAGAACAACCGAGGAUUAGUCAUGCAUGUAUCAUCUUCUCAAAGAGGAGCCGUGAUGGUAACAGCUCCCCCCAGUCCCAAGCCCUGGAUUCUACCCUGCAUGGUCCUGACGGCUUGUUCCAUCCACACCAAUAUUUUAAAAGAAAAGGCAGUGGGCUCCCAGACAAAGUUAAAAAGGGCACCACAUUUGACUGCACAUCCCAGAGCAGGUUGGCUUAACCAAGGCCUUCCAACCAGGAGGACUGACAGCAAGCAAAAGCCUCCCCGAGGACACGCACAGAGAUGGUGCAGUGGCUGCUCCGGAAAGAUUUCUGUUGACAUUGUUUUGAUCAUGUUUUCAGAUUCUGAAACACUGGCGGCGUUUGUU
rnacentral:lncRNA from 1 species